CCUACGGGAGGCAGCAGUAAGGAAUAUUGGUCAAUGGAGGCAACUCUGAACCAGCCAUGCCGCGUGCAGGAAGAAGGCCCUAUGGGUCGUAAACUGCUUUUGUACCAGAGAAAACCCGAGUACGUGUACUCGGUUGAUAGUAUGGUAAGAAUAAGCAUCGGCUAACUUCGUGCCAGCAGCCGCGGUAAGACGAAGGAUGCAAGCGUUAUCCGGAUUCAUUGGGUUUAAAGGGUGCGUAGGCGGACUGAUAAGUCAGUGGUGAAAUCUCUCGGCUUAAACCGAGAAACUGCCAUUGAUACUGUUAGUCUAGAGUAUAGAUGACGUUGGCGGAAAUAUGACAUGUAGUGGUGAAAUACUUAGAUAUGUCAUAGAACACCGAUUGCGAAGGCAGCUAACGAAACUAUAACUGACGCUGAGGCACGAAAGUGCGGGGAUCAAACAGGAUUAGAUACCCUGGUAGUCCGCACCGUAAACGAUGAUUACUCGUUGUUGGCAAAUUAUGACCGUCACGCGACCGAACGACGAACGACGAGUAAGUAAUACCACCGUACGGGGAGGUACGGACCGGCCGAACCGGUACGGAAACGUAAACGUAAAGUUAAGUACGGACGUGAGAGAGACGACGACGACGACGACGGGAGGGAGGAGG
rnacentral:rRNA from 1 species